rnacentral:rRNA from 1 species
CCUACGGGGUGCAGCAGUGGGGAAUAUUGCACAAUGGGCGCAAGCCUGAUGCAGCCAUGCCGCGUGUGUGAAGAAGGCCUUCGGGUUGUAAAGCACUUUCAGCGGGGAGGAAAGCGGUGAGGUUAAUAACCUCAUCGAUUGACGUUACCCGCAGAAGAAGCACCGGCUAACUCCGUGCCAGCAGCCGCGGUAAUACGGAGGGUGCAAGCGUUAAUCGGAAUUACUGGGCGUAAAGCGCACGCAGGCGGUCUGUCAAGUCGGAUGUGAAAUCCCCGGGCUCAACCUGGGAACUGCAUUCGAAACUGGCAGGCUAGAGUCUUGUAGAGGGGGGUAGAAGUCCAGGUGUAGCGGUGAAAUGCGUAGAGAUCUGGAGGAAUACCGGUGGCGAAGGCGGCCCCCUGGACAAAGACUGACGCUCAGGUGCGAAAGCGUGGGGAGCAAACAGGAUUAGAUACCCCGGUAGUC